rnacentral:rRNA from 1 species
UACGUAGGGUGCAAGCGUUAAUCGGAAUUACUGGGCGUAAAGCGUGCGCAGGCGGUUUUGUAAGUCUGUCGUGAAAUCCCCGGGCUCAACCUGGGAAUUGCGAUGGAGGCUGCAAGGCUAGAAUCUGGCAGAGGGGGGUAGAAUUCCACGUGUAGCAGUGAAAUGCGUAGAGAUGUGGAGGAACACCGAUGGCGAAGGCAGCCCCCUGGGUCAAGAUUGACGCUCAUGCACGGAAGCGUGGGGAGCAAACAGG